rnacentral:lncRNA from 1 species
ACAGUGAGCUUGAGGAAUUGGAUUAUGUUAUGUUCAUAUACACCAAGGGACUUCUUCUUCCAGACCAAAUCAAGUAAAAUUGACUGGACAUUCUCUAUUCUCACAACAGUUAGAUAUUAAAAAGUACAAAAAAUUGCUAUUUUGACACACUGGAUAUAGCAUCAAAGGACAAUGAUGCUGAGAGACAAGGUCAGAUGAGCCCUCUUCUACUGAAGUUACAACCUCAAGAAAAUUUCCAGAUGGUGACCUCGAGAGAGAAGACCCUGGAAUGAAAUAUGGAUGGAAAUCCAGGGAUCACAGGGCAAGGAACCAGAGAGGCAGCUGAUAUACAACGAAAAUUCUAUUAUUCUGUGGAGGACCCACUUUGAAUAUCCAGUUAAAAAUAAAUCAGAACAUCUACAAAGAAGCUAAUCAGGAAGGCAAAACGUAUUUAAUGGAACCUGGCCAUACAGGAUGCUGCAACUGGUCAUAAUGAUGUGAAUAAGAUGGCCUUAAAUGAGCUUUCUCUCCAGCUACUGUCUUUACCAGCUCACACCGAUGUUCAGCUCUUCCCACUGUUCACACCAACAACCUGAAGGAAGGUCUGGGAUUUGGGCCUGUAGACCUGCUACAUUCCUUAAGAUGGGUAGAAGGAAGAGGGGCUGUAGGAAAUCCUGUAAUUCAUGGUUGUUCCAUAGCGAACCAUCUGUGUACAGGGUUAGCCCAGUUAACUCCUGUCUUUCCAAACUGUUACAUGUUCUUCUGAGUCCAGAAUGCUCCUUGGCAUUCCUGUGUUCUGUUCUGUUUUGUUUCAAAUAG